UACGGAGGGUGCGAGCGUUGUCCGGAAUCCCUGGGCGUAAAGGGCGCGUAGGCGGCGCGGGUAGUCAUCGGUGAAAGUUCAGGGCUCAACUCUGAAUCGGCCGGUGAUACUCCCGUGCUCGAGCACUGUAGAGGCAGGUGGAAUUCCGGGUGUAGCGGUGGAAUGCGUAGAGAUCCGGAAGAACACCGGUGGCGAAGGCGGCCUGCUGGGCAGUAGCUGACGCUGAUGCGCGACAGCGUGGGGAGCAAACAGG
rnacentral:rRNA from 1 species